UCGCCUCUGCGGUGUUCGUGAUGCGUCGCAUUCAAUUGGCGAACCUACACUAACCUGCUUGGGAGCCUUUAUUUUAAGGCUCGAGCCGCGCGCAAGCCCAUCCCCGGUUUCGGCCGGGAUUGUAGUGGGAUCCGCUCACGCUCGGGCGAGGUUCCCUUCUCAAUAGCGGGUUCCCAACCGGCGGCGCACACGGCACAGGCGGAGGCGUU
rnacentral:other from 2 species